UACGGAGGAUGCGAGCGUUAUCCGGAUUUAUUGGGUUUAAAGGGUGCGCAGGCGGAUUUUUAAGUCAGCGGUCAAAUCGUGGGGCUCAACCCCAUCCAGCCGUUGAAACUGGGGAUCUAGAGUGUGCGAGAGGUAUGCGGAAUGCGUGGUGUAGCGGUGAAAUGCAUAGAUAUCACGCAGAACCCCGAUUGCGAAGGCAGCAUACCAGUGCACAACUGACGCUCAGGCACGAAAGCGUGGGUAUCGAACAGG
rnacentral:rRNA from 1 species